rnacentral:tRNA from 2 species
GCACUCGUGGCUCAAUGGUAGAGCAACUGACUCUUAAUCAGUGGGUUGUAGGUUCGAGUCCUACCGAGUGCACCA